rnacentral:rRNA from 1 species
GGGUUGUGAGGUUAAGCGACUAAGCGUACACGGUGGAUGCCCUGGCAGUCAGAGGCGAUGAAGGGCGUGCUAAUCUGCGAUAAGCGCCGGUAAGGUGAUAUGAACCGUUAUAACCGGCGAUACCCGAAUGGGGAAACCCAGUGUGAUUCGUCACACUAUCAUUAACUGAAUCCAUAGGUUAAUGAGGCGAACCGGGGGAACUGAAACAUCUAAGUACCCCGAGGAAAAGAAAUCAACCGAGAUUCCCCCAGUAGCGGCGAGCGAACGGGGAGGAGCCCAGAGCCUGAAUCAGCAUGUGUGUUAGUGGAAGCGUCUGGAAAGGCGCGCGAUACAGGGUGACAGCCCCGUACACAAAAGCGCAUGUGCUGUGAGCUCGAUGAGUAGGGCGGGACACGUGGUAUCCUGUCUGAAUAUGGGGGGACCAUCCUCCAAGGCUAAAUACUCCUGACUGACCGAUAGUGAACCAGUACCGUGAGGGAAAGGCGAAAAGAACCCCGGCGAGGGGAGUGAAAAAGAACCUGAAACCGUGUACGUACAAGCAGUGGGAGCCCCACCACCAAAGCAUUCUCUGGUGUUGAAGGCCCUGCAAAGCAGCAUCGCGGUGGCGGAGCGUCGUUUGCGACGCCCAACACACAAAACAAGCGGUGAGUGCUUUGGGGUGGGGUGACUGCGUACCUUUUGUAUAAUGGGUCAGCGACUUAUAUUCUGUAGCAAGGUUAACCGUAUAGGGGAGCCGGAGGGAAACCGAGUCUUAACCGGGCGUUAAGUUGCAGGGUAUAGACCCGAAACCCGGUGAUCUAGCCAUGGGCAGGUUGAAGGUUGGGUAACACUAACUGGAGGACCGAACCGACUAAUGUUGAAAAAUUAGCGGAUGACCUGUGGCUGGGGGUGAAAGGCCAAUCAAACCGGGAGAUAGCUGGUUCUCCCCGAAAGCUAUUUAGGUAGCGCCUCGUGAAUUCAUCUCCGGGGGUAGAGCACUGUUUCGGCUAGGGGGCCAUCCCGGCUUACCAACCCGAUGCAAACUGCGAAUACCGGAGAAUGUUAUCACGGGAGACACACGGCGGGUGCUAACGUCCGUCGUGAAGAGGGAAACAACCCAGACCGCCAGCUAAGGUCCCAAAGUCAUGGUUAAGUGGGAAACGAUGUGGGAAGGCCCAGACAGCCAGGAUGUUGGCUUAGAAGCAGCCAUCAUUUAAAGAAAGCGUAAUAGCUCACUGGUCGAGUCGGCCUGCGCGGAAGAUGUAACGGGGCUAAACCAUGCACCGAAGCUGCGGCAGCGAACGUAUCACCCAAGACAACUUUACGGAGUUGACGAUUGACGGAGCGAAGCGACGUCAAAGCGUUCAUUAAAGUCGAGUUGGCUUAGGGAUACGUUCGUUGGGUAGGGGAGCGUUCUGUAAGCCUGUGAAGGUGGCCUGUGAGGGUUGCUGGAGGUAUCAGAAGUGCGAAUGCUGACAUAAGUAACGAUAAAGCGGGUGAAAAGCCCGCUCGCCGGAAGACCAAGGGUUCCUGUCCAACGUUAAUCGGGGCAGGGUGAGUCGACCCCUAAGGCGAGGCCGAAAGGCGUAGUCGAUGGGAAACGGGUUAAUAUUCCCGUACUUGGUGUUACUGCGAAGGGGGGACGGAGAAGGCUAUGUUGGCCGGGCGACGGUUGUCCCGGUUUAAGCGUGUAGGUGUGUGUUCCAGGUAAAUCCGGUUCACUUUAACACUGAGGCGUGAUGACGAGGCACUACGGUGCUGAAGCAACAAAUGCCCUGCUUCCAGGAAAAGCCUCUAAGCAUCAGGUAACAUCAAAUCGUACCCCAAACCGACACAGGUGGUCAGGUAGAGAAUACCAAGGCGCUUGAGAGAACUCGGGUGAAGGAACUAGGCAAAAUGGUGCCGUAACUUCGGGAGAAGGCACGCUGACACGUAGGUGAAGUGAUUUACUCACGGAGCUGAAGUCAGUCGAAGAUACCAGCUGGCUGCAACUGUUUAUUAAAAACACAGCACUGUGCAAACACGAAAGUGGACGUAUACGGUGUGACGCCUGCCCGGUGCCGGAAGGUUAAUUGAUGGGG